rnacentral:rRNA from 1 species
AAGCGUGGGGAGCAAACAGGAUUAGAUACCUGGUAGUCACGCUGUAAACGAUGUCGAUUUGGAGGUUGUUCCCUGAGGAGUGGCUUCCGGAGCUAACGCGUUAAAUCGACCGCCUGGGGAGUACGGCCGCAAGGUUAAAACUCAAAUGAAUUGACGGGGGCCCGCACAGCGGUGGAGCAUGUGGUUUAAUUCGAUGCAACGCGAAGAACCUUACCUACUCUUGACAUCCAGAGAAUUUAGCAGAGAUGCUUUAGUGCCUUCGGGAACUCUGAGACAGGUGCUGCAUGGCUGUCGUCAGCUCGUGUUGUGAAAUGUUGGGUUAAGUCCCGCAACGAGCGCAACCCUUAUCCUUUGUUGCCAGCACAUUAUGGUGGGAACUCAAAGGAGACUGCCGGUGAUAAACCGGAGGAAGGUGGGGAUGACGUCAAGUCAUCAUGGCCCUUACGAGUAGGGCUACACACGUGCUACAAUGGCGUAUACAAAGAGAAGCGACCUCGCGAGAGCAAGCGGAACUCAUAAAGUACGUCGUAGUCCGGAUUGGAGUCUGCAACUCGACUCCAUGAAGUCGGAAUCGCUAGUAAUCGUAGAUCAGAAUGCUACGGUGAAUACGUUCCCGGGCCUUGUACACACCGCCCGUCACACCAUGGGAGUGGGUUGCAAAAGAAGUAGGUAGCUUAACCUUCGGGAGGGCGCUUACCACUUUGUGAUUCAUGACUGGGGUGAAGUCGUAACAAGGUAACCA